UAUGCGUAAAUCUAUCUUUCUUGACCCCCUUCAUUUCUCCAACGGGUUAUCAUCCCACCACCACCAGGCCACUCUCCUGUCACCACCCAACCACUACCCGCAACAAAUAUAUAACCUUCAGGAUCUGCAAAUCCCACCACCAACAAAUAUAUAAUCGGUUAUUAUUUUUACCGUAUCAUCAAAAUAUUGUUGUCGCCAGUUCCCUCCUCACCACAAUCGAAAGCAUCGAUUGUAUUUUUGAUUCGAUUGAUUUGUUCUACAAAUGAGUUUUGUAUAUUUGUGUUUGAUUUAUAUAAAUGGGUUUUGAUUUUUUAAUUUGUAAAUCAAGAUUAUUGGAGAAGAAUAAUUGGAAACUAAAAAUUUGUCGGAAAAGUGUCAUCGGAAUCUGAAGAGGAUCACCGGAAACGGAAAAGAGUUACCGGAAUCUGGCGAUAGUCACCGGAAACUGGAAAGAAUCACCGGAAUGGUUCAUGGGUCACCGGAAUCUGACGACUUCUCCAAUGACAAGACAUGGGUGCUACAUCGCUGACGGCAACAAAGGUGACAUGGUACUUACCAGUUACAACUUGGAAGUAUACACGAUAUAACCCAAAAUAUGAAAGGCUAGUUUUCGAGCAAAACUGGAGCGACUCCGGUACAAACUAGAGUCUAGAAGAUUUGUCCAAAGAUAAUAUAAGUCUAGUGGCCAGUACAGUCAUGCCACUGGAACUUCACUCGAGUCAAGAUCUGACCAAAAAUGAAGUCCAGUUGAAGUCGAAGACAACAAGUGGAAGGAAGAAAACAUUCAUGGCAGCAAAGCCUAGUGAACGUUUUACUCAAAUCGAAACUGGAAAGUUCACCAAUGUAAAGUACUUACAAAGCUUUACACUAAUUACGAGAAAGACUUUUUACCUUUAUAAUCUAUUAUCCGGACAAUACCAUUUGUCUAUGAUAAAAGUACAAAAGUGUAUAAAGGUGGUUGGCUAAAGUACUAUUUACCUAGUACUUUAACAAGCAUGCUUUAGGAUUUGUACAUCCAAGAAUGAACCUUUGCAUAAUUUGACGUUGCAUAUUCUUGGCGAACUUGUGCGAUAUUCUCUCCAUCGCAAAAAAGGAUCAUUUC